rnacentral:rRNA from 1 species
AAGUCGUAACAAGGUUUCCGUAGGUGAACCUGCGGAAGGAUCAUUACCGAGUUAGGGUCUCCUCUGUGAGGCCCGACCUCCCAACCCUUGUGUCUAACAAACUUGUACGUGUUGCUUCGGCGGACCGGCAGUCCUCUCACGAGGUCCGUCGCCCGGAGGUCCCACCGACCCCCUGGAGAGCGUCCGUCGAUGGCUCAACCUUCCAAAACUCUUGUAAACAACCAUGGAAUUUCUUCUGAAUCUUGACCAUUUUGAUAUAAUCAAAAAACUAAAACUUUCAACAACGGAUCUCUUGGUUCUGGCAUCGAUGAAGAACGCAGCGAAAUGCGAUAAGUAAUGCGAAUUGCAGAAUUUCCGUGAGUCAUCGAAUCUUUGAACGCACAUUGCGCCCUUUGGCAUUCCGAAGGGCAUGCCUGUUCGAGCGUCAUUAUCCUCUCUCAAACCCCCGGGCUUGGUGUUGGGUCGCGUUGGGGGUCUUUGACCCCCCAACUGACCUCAAAGACAAUGACGGCGUCCGUGGGACCCUCUUCGCACUGAGCUUCUCGGAGCACGCGUCGAGCUUAAGGUCCCGGGGACCCGGUCUACCAUGAAUUCAUUUUUCUCAGGUUGACCUCGGAUCAGGUAGGAAUACCCGCUGAACUUAA